GAUUCGAGGGCUUCGGAAGCGGCCUUCUGGAAGGCGGCCUUGAGCUCAUCGUUGUUCGACUUGUCGGCGAACCAC
rnacentral:tRNA from 10 species